AGAACACGAGUCCUUACGAGUCUGACACACUGCUGAGGACCAACAUAUGCUGCUGAACCAGCAGUAAACUAACGUCAGGAAGCUGAAGAGCCUGAAUUGACACCAUAGUUGCUGUAUUUAUGUUGGACAGGUGCGGGAUUUUCUUCAACGGUCGACAUUCAUACGAUUCACAACUGCGUCUGUUUCAGUGACUGGUGGAAACAAAAGGAGCCUGAAAGAAGAGAGAGAGAGAAGAGGGAGAAACAAGUGGGGCAUUACAUAUCCCAAAAAAUACAAGAUAUAAUAAAAAAAGAAAAGAAAAAUGAAAAUGCAUAAUAUGUUUAGAAUUAUGUUAUUGUUCAUCUUCACCAUUAAUUGUUAAUAUAGUUUUAGAAUUGUAAUCAUUCCAAUUAUUUUGUAAAUAUUUGUUAUUAAAGGGGCUGUAAGAUCAAAUAAAUAUUUAUAAAUAUGGUUCCUUGUGGUCCUGCAGAUCAUUAAAAGUAAACGUAUUACUUAUUUGUCGGAAAAUUGGGGCAGACACUAUGUAAUCAAUCAAUCAUCAAACAAACAUUUUGACCAGCUAAGACCAGCCUGACCAGCUAAAAAAAGUGGUUCAAACCCCCCUAAAACCAGCUUGAUGAACCAGUGGGUCACAGGGUGUGAGCUGCAGCAUAAUCAGCUGAACAUCAUUGCCACUGGAAUCCUGGUUCCAACCUGUGCAAGUUAAACAAGUGGUCUGCUUGUUGACUGUUCUAAGAUGGCAGCACUGUUGUUGUACCUGAAGCAGCCAAACUUCAUUUACCUAUGUACAUAUCUAUGGCUGGCAGCCCUGGCUGUGGCAAAUGCAGAGGUAAUUACUUUACAGAAACCCAAAGAGUUUGUAUGUUUAAAUGAAGACACAGGAACAAAGAUUCAAGGUAAGGUCAAAUGGGGG